rnacentral:lncRNA from 1 species
AUGACAGAUUAUGGCAAGGAACAACGCAAUGAGUUGGAGGUUCUGGAGACCAUCUACCCCAACUCCUGCACAGUAUUAUCAGAAAGCCCACCAAGCUUCACCAUUACUGUGACAUUGGAGGCUGGAGAAAAUGAUGAAACUGUCCAGACUACUCUCAAGUUUACAUACAGUGAAAAGUACCCUGAUGAGACUCCACUUUAUGAAAUAUUCUCCAAGGAAAAUCUAGAAGAUAAUGGUGUCUCAGACAUUUUAAAAUUACUGGCAUUGCAGGCUGAGGAGAAUCUCGGCAUGGUGAUGAUAUUCACCCUCGUGACAGCUGUUCAAGAAAAGUUAAAUGAAAUAGUUGAUCAGAUAGGAACAAGAAGAGAGGAAGAAAAGAAACGAAAGAAAAGGAAGCAGAAGAAGCAGAGAAGAAACUGUUCCUUAGCACCCCUGUUAUGAUUGAGAAUUUCUUGCGUUGGAAGGCCAAAUUUGAUACAGAACUCCUGGAAAUUAAAAAGAAAGGAAUGAAAGAAGAGGAACAAGCAGGGGAAAAUAAACUAAGUGGGAAACAGGUAUUUGAAACAGAUCAUAAUCUUGACACAUCCAAUAUCCAGUUCCUGGAGGAUGCUGGGAACAAUGUGGAGGUGGAUGAGUCAUUGUUCCAAGAAAUGGACGAUUUGGAGCUAGAAGAUGGUGAGGAUGAUCCUAACUACAAUCCUGUUGCCCCAGGGAGUGAGUCCUC